AUUGAACGCUGGCGGCAGGCCUAACACAUGCAAGUCGUGCGAGCGGCGGACGGGUGAGUAAUGUAUGGGGAUCUGCCUGCUGGAGGGGGAUAACUACUGGAAACGGUAGCUAAUACCGCAUCCCAUAAGAUGAACCCAUAGUGGAUUAGCUGUUAGGUGAGGUAACGGCCCACCUAGGCGACGAUCCCUAACUGGUCUGAGAGGAUGAUCAGCCACACUGUAAAUGAGACACGGUCCAGACUCCUACGGGAGGCAGCAUUGGGGAAUAUUGCGCAAUGGGGGAAAGCCGGACCCAGCCAUGCGGCGUGAGUGAAGAAGGCCUUCGGGUUGUAAAGUUCUUUCGUUAGCGAGGCGUUAACUACAGAAUAAGCACCGGCUAACUCCGUGCCAGCAGCCGCGGUAAUAC
rnacentral:rRNA from 1 species